rnacentral:rRNA from 1 species
GACGAACCGUGCAAACGUUGUUCGGAAUCACUGGGCUUAAAGGCGCGUAGGCGGCUUGCCAAGUCAGGGGUGAAAUCUUUCGGCUUAACCGGAAAAGUGCCUUUGAUACUGGCGAGCUAGAGGGAGGUAGGGGCAUGUGGAACUUCCGGUGGAGCGGUGAAAUGCGUUGAUAUCGGAAGGAACGCCGGUGGCGAAAGCGACGUGCUGGAUCUCUUCUGACGCUGAGGCGCGAAAGCUAGGGGAGCGAACGGG